rnacentral:tRNA from 1 species
GUCAGGAUAGUGUAGAGGUUAGCACGCUGUGAAAACCAGCAUCCUGGGUUCGAAUCCCAGUCUUGAGGAAACG